rnacentral:RNase_P_RNA from 1 species
AGUGCAAGCUGACUUGUCGCUGUUCCGGUUUAAUCUGGGAGAGAGGAAAGUCCGGGCAACAAAGAGCACCAUACUUCCUAACGGGAAGGGGUCUUGAUGGUGACGGCAAGAUCACAGACAGUGCCACAGAAAAAAUACCGCCCUGUACCGAUAGCUAUCGGCCCGGGGUAAGGGUGAAAAGGUGGGGUAAGAGCCCACCGCUCCGACAGUGAUGAAGGGGGCACGGUAAACCUUAUGGGUUGAAAGAUCAAAUAGGUUCCGCCUUGGGUUAAACCCAAAAAGGGCUGCUCGUCCUUAUGCGGAAUGGGUAGAUCGAUAGAGCCCUGAUGUGAAUCAGGGCCUAGAUAAAUGACAGGUAAGCUGCCCAAAAAGCAGUGAACAGAACCCGGCUUAUAGGCUUGCACUUUUU